rnacentral:rRNA from 1 species
AUUGAACGCUGGCGGAAUGCUUUACACAUGCAAGUCGAACGGCAGCACGGACUUCGGUCUGGUGGCGAGUGGCGAACGGGUGAGUAAUGUAUCGGAACGUGCCCAGUCGUGGGGGAUAACGUAGUGAAAAUUACGCUAAUACCGCAUACGAUCUAUGGAUGAAAGCGGGGGAUCGCAAGACCUCGCGCGCUUGGAGCGGCCGAUAUCAGAUUAGGUAGUUGGUGGGGUAAAGGCCCACCAAGCCAACGAUCUGUAGCUGGUCUGAGAGGACGACCAGCCACACUGGAAGAGAGACACGGUCCAGACUCCUACGGGAGGCAGCAGUGGGGAAUUUUGGACAAUGGGCGAAAGCCUGAUCCAGCCAUUCCGCGUGCAGGAUGAAGGCCCUCGGGUUGUAAACUGCUUUUGUACAGAACGAAAAGGUUUCUACUAAUACUAGGAGCUCAUGACGGUACUGUAAGAAUAAGCACCGGCUAACUACGUGCCAGCAGCCGCGGUAA